GUGCUCACUUCAGCAGCACAUACAUUAAAAUUAGAAUGAUACAGAGAAGAUUAGCGUGGCUCCUGCACAAGGAUGACAUGUUUAAAAAAAUUUUUUUUU
ensembl:snRNA U6 U6 spliceosomal RNA